UACGUAGGGUGCGAGCGUUAAUCGGAAUUACUGGGCGUAAAGCGUGCGCAGGCGGUCUGUUAAGACCGAUGUGAAAUCCCCGGGCUUAACCUGGGAACUGCAUUGGUGACUGGCAGGCUUUGAGUGUGGCAGAGGGAGGUAGAAUUCCACGUGUAGCAGUGAAAUGCGUAGAGAUGUGGAGGAAUACCGAUGGCGAAGGCAGCCUCCUGGGCCAACACUGACGCUGAGGUGCGAAAGCGUGGGGAGCAAACAGG
rnacentral:rRNA from 1 species